GCACCCGUAGCUCAAUUGGAUAGAGCAUCUGACUUCGGAUCAGAGAGUUGGGGGUUCGAGUCCUCUCGGGUGUG
rnacentral:tRNA from 1 species